rnacentral:rRNA from 1 species
GACGAACGCUGGCGGCGUGCUUAACACAUGCAAGUCGAACGCUGAAGCUUGGUGCUUGCACUGGGUGGAUGAGUGGCGAACGGGUGAGUAAUACGUGAGUAACCUGCCCUUGACUCUGGGAUAAGCCUGGGAAACUGGGUCUAAUACUGGAUACGACAUGUCACCGCAUGGUGGUGUGUGGAAAGGGUUUUACUGGUUUUGGAUGGGCUCACGGCCUAUCAGCUUGUUGGUGGGGUAAUGGCUCACCAAGGCGACGACGGGUAGCCGGCCUGAGAGGGUGCCCGGCCACACUGGGACUGAGACACGGCCCAGACUCCUACGGGAGGCAGCAGUGGGGAAUAUUGCACAAUGGGCGGAAGCCUGAUGCAGCGACGCCGCGUGAGGGAUGACGGCCUUCGGGUUGUAAACCUCUUUCAGCACGGAAGAAGCGAAAGUGACGGUACGUGCAGAAGAAGCGCCGGCUAACUACGUG